rnacentral:rRNA from 1 species
AUUACCGCGGCUGCUGGCACGAAGUUUGCCGGGGCUUAUUCUGCAGGUACCGUCAUUAUCUUCCCUGCUAAAAGAGCUUUACAGCCCGAAGGCCUUCUUCACUCACGCGGCAUCGCUGGAUCAGGGUUUCCCCCAUUGUCCAAUAUUCCCCACUGCUGCCUCCCGUAGG